GUCACGGCCGAGCAUUUUGAUCCAAAAAACGUGCCGGGUCGGACAAGCCGAUGUCUCAAACAAUAUUUAAAGACGGAUAUAAAGUCCAUGUGAGGUCAUCCCAUAAAACACUUUUAUCCAAUUAUUUAUUCCAGUGAGAAGUGCCCGGCGCCGCCGCGCCGGUCGCCGUCGCCACCGCGCCUUCCCCUUCCCCUCCUCGCCGCUUCCCCUCCUCUAGGUCGUUGGCUCAUAAAGGCGUUCUCUGAGAUCUCUUUGCUCUCCGGUCGUAGUUUUAGAUGAUUCCGCUUUCUUUAAGGUCUCCCAUGGAGUUGCGACGCUGCGGCGGUGCGGCGGCGGCGGCGGCGGCGGCGAGGCUGGCGUCGCGGCGGAGCUCGAUAUCUCAUAUCUUUCCGGCCCUCUCGCAAGGGUUUGGAUGCAAUGAACCCCAAAAUUUCGGAUCUUGUCUUCUUUGGAUUUUGGAGCUGUCCCCAUUGGGUUUUCUCUAGGUACCACCCGACAAGAGUAUUGACACUUAUUUAUCAACCUUUUGCCCUUGCACCACAUGCCAUACUAGCAUAUCAUGAAGCAAAACUUGACAGGAGAAACCGCAAAGAUGGAUAUGCUCUGUUCGUUUUAAGUUCUCUCCUAGUAAUUGCGGCAGUUAGAUGUUGCAACAUCUGGAAAAGGUGGGAUUGGAGACUUUAUUGUUAUAUGCACCAUUGCUGGAGCAUUUGGAGUUGCUGAUGCCCACAUUCAAGGGGGGAUGAUUGGUGAUUUGUCCUUGAUGUGCCCGAAAUUUAUUCAAGUUGGACAUUGGCAAAUGGCAUCCUACUUACUCUUUUUAAAUUUUUUGUAAGUACAUCAUAGUCACAUACAUGAAUUUUUUUUGUUUAAUGUAAAAAUGCAGUCCUUCUUGGCUGGAUUGGCGGCAGCAGGGGCGCUAACCUCUACUUUGAGGUUAAUUACAUAGGCAGCUUUUGAGCACACCCAAGAUGGUCGGUUCAUGCUAGCACUGAAGUAGAAUAUUUACUGUGGAUUGCAUUUUAGACUUCUAAAGGAAAUGAUAUGUGCACCUAGGAUGCUGAGAGCUUUGACCCACCUGCAUGAUUAUACUAUUCUCCUUUCUUUAACUCUGACCUCACUAGUCAGCAGCAUGUCCUCGAAUUUGGUAUACGUAUUAACACAUUAGAAUAUCUGUUUGUGCGUGUGAAUGGAAUGACUUGUUGAUGUAUUCUAAUGAAGCACUUGCUUAAAGUUACCUUGAUGAGUUCUGAUGGCUGAAGCUCCCAGCUUCUCAUUAGAUAUUGAAGUAAAAAUUUGUAAUUGUUUAAACAUAUAAGAAUAUACCUCAGAUUGAUUUCGAUGUCCACACCACCAUGGUUGUUACCUAGGCUUGAUAAGAAGUAUCAAAUGACUGCUCAUAAUGCCCUUCAGAUAAUGAACCCUGCCAUUUGCUAUUGAUCUCUUUUUGAGACCUUGUAAACCACUGUCAUGAAUAAAUUACACCUGAGAAUUCUCAUAUCAAUUCUUAUCCCUAUUCCCUAGUAUUUUUAACAAUAAAUUUGAAUCUUUAGUCUGUCUCUAAGCGUCACUUCUAAUUUCUCCUUGAGGUGAUGUUUCUUGCAGUUUCAGCAAUUUUCGAGCUACUAUGUAUUCUUCUCUACGCAUUUAUCUUCCCUGAAUUGCUGUUUGUGAAGUAUUAUUGUUCAAAAGCAGCUUCAGAAGGAUCUAUGACAGUUUAUGCUGACCUUGCUGCUGCUGGCACUCAAAAGCAGCAUGAUCAAGUUGAUGUCUUGCUGAUGGUUUUACAACAAUCCAAAUUUGUAAACAUAUAAAGUGCUUUUUUGAAAAAGCAAAGAUAGGUCUUCUUGUUUACAUACAUAUUUGUUGCAGGAUGAGGACCCAAAACUUUCAGUGUGUUUGACCAGCAAGCAGUUGUUAUUAGAAAACAUUGACCGUGCAAUUGAUAUUUAUCUGAUGUAUGUGUUGACCUUAUCAAUUUUUCCAGGAUUUGCCUGAGGAUAUUGGAUCCCACAGCUUGGGGUCAUAGUGAGUGUGCUUGUUGGCAGACUAUUAUGUUCUAUUAUAUUUUCAGUUUCUUUAUAAUUUUUCAUAAAUGCCAGCAAUAUUUUAUUGCACGACUCAUGCUUGCAUAGUACUUUAGUGUUAGCGUUGUAAAAUGUAGAACCCUGAUUUAAUGAUGUUCCUUUCCUAUCUUUCAAGUUGUGGAUCAAGAUAUAAGAAAGCGAUCAAAACAUUCUGUUCCAUUGUAGCUAACCGACAAUAUGCAUCAUUAAUUUUGGUUUUCAUUCAGGUAUGCGCUUCUCUUGACUGCGGCGUAUAAUUUGUGGGCCUCAUAGGGAGAUAUGUACCUCUUUUGACAUGGAUUAGCUGACAUCAAGGAAAGACCUAAUGGUUGCAAUUCUUUCACGUUUCUUGCUUGUUCCAGCAUUCUACUUCGCAGUGAAGUAUGGGGACCAAGGAUGGAUGAUCAUGUUAACAUCAUUCUUAGGACUAAGCAAGGAUUACCUUACUGUCUGUGUUCUUACUGCAGUGCCCGAAGGAUACAGCUGGGGACCUGAGCAAAGUGCAUUAGGAACUUGCAUGCUUGUGCUGUCUCCUAGCAGGUAUAUUCUCAGGAGUUUUUCUUGUUUGGUUGUGGCUCAUAGGGAAGGGCUGGUGAUGCUGCCGCACCAACAACUAAAGUCUAUGCUAAACAGUUUAUUUACUUGCACAUAAAAAAUUGUCCUGCAGUUUUAUUCUACAUUUUCUAUAAUCUAUGUUAGACUAUAGAAUUGAAAGAGUUCUUUUGAGCUCCAUUGAAUUAAAAUUGUUCUUGGUCUUUGACUUCGUUA